CGGAUGUUCCCCCAGGGCAUUGGGAUAGAGACGGAUAAGUUCCCUAGGGUACAGACCCCGCCCCACUCCCACGCCAGGGCGCAAAGGAAGCCUAGGUUUUGGCCCUGCCCCAUUCCAUGAAAGAUUAACGGAGGGGGCUCUAGGGUUGGAGCUACUGAGAGGGUGGCAGCGGGUGUGUCUGAGGAGCAGAAGGCGGUGGGGAGCUGACCCCACUUGGGGAGAGGCUGCUGUUGCCUGGGCGGCUGGCAUCAGGCCCCCAGUGUGUGCCAUUUGCUGGUAAUAUAAUGAGACCAGCAUCUGCCUUAUUCGACCCUCACUGUCCGUAGGGCAGGCAGUGGAAAGGGAGGCGUGUUUUAGAGCUGUGGUUCUCAACCAGGGGCGACUUUGCCUGCCAUGGGAUAUUUGGCAAUGUUGGAGUCAUUUUGGGUGUCACACACUUGGGAGGGGAAGUGAGUGUUGUUGUUACUGGCAGGUAGUGGGUAGAGGCCAGGGACGCUACCAGACAUCUUCAGGGCACGGAACAGCCCACAUAACGAGGAAUUAUCCAGCCCAAGGUGUUGGGCUGUGCUGAGGCUGAGAAACCCUGCGCAGCAGCUGGUCCAUCAGGUUCCUUCUCAAUGAUGCUCCCUCACUGGGGAAACUACCUCAGUUUUCCAGAGUGGUUAGGGGAGGAACUUGGAAUAAACCUGAAUGAGAUGAGGGGUAAGGCAGUGUGAGGGCACUUAUUCCCCUCACAAGAGUCUUCCUUUGGUGCCAUGAGACACCGCCUUUCCCAAUCUCCACUGGCCCUGCAGGAAGCUGGUCUAGGUGCUGUGGGGGAGAGGUUGGGAACAGAGGACCCCCUUGCAGCCCAGGCCUGGGGUGCUUAACCCCAGGGCAAUCUCCCAGGAAGGCUGGGCUGAGGCAGCCCUUGAGCUCAAAUAUCC
rnacentral:lncRNA from 10 species